rnacentral:lncRNA from 1 species
GCAGUUGUCCCUAUGAUAUGGUGUGAGACUAGUAUAAGUCCAUUGAUUGGCAUCUGGUAUCAUUUGUUUUGUUUUAGGAGAUUGGUGUAAAACCAUUGAUUGGUAUCCGGUAUCCAUUUUGUUUGAGAGAUUGGUAUAAGUCCAUUGAUUGGCAUCUGAUAUCAUUGUUUUGUUUUAGGAGAUUGGUGUAAAUCCAUUGAUUGGUAUCCGGUAUCCAUUUUGUUUGAGAGAUUGGUAUAAGUCCAUUGAUUGGCACCCAG